UACGUAGGGUGCGAGCGUUGUCCGGAUUUAUUGGGCGUAAAGAGCUCGUAGGCGGCUUGUCGCGUCGACUGUGAAAUCCCGCGGCUCAACCGCGGGUCUGCAGUCGAUACGGGCAGGCUAGAGUUCGGUAGGGGGAGACUGGAAUUCCUGGUGUAGCGGUGAAAUGCGCAGAUAUCAGGAAGAACACCUAUGGCGAAGGCAGCUCUCUGGGACGGUACUGACGCUGAGACGCGAAAGCGUGGGGAGCGAACAGG
rnacentral:rRNA from 1 species